rnacentral:rRNA from 1 species
ACCUAUUCCAGAGGCUAGUUUUUAUUUUUUUUUUUUUUUCAAGCAGAAGACGGCAUACGAGAUCAGCCUCGGUCUCGUGGGCUCGGAGAUGUGUAUAAGAGACAGGGUUGAAGCAUGACCGUAAGGACAUGUGGACAGUAUGGGAGUGAGAAUGUUGGCAUGAGUAGCGAGAUGUGGGUGAGAAUCCCACAGGCCGUAAACCCAAGGUUUCCAGGGGAAGGUUCGUCCGCCCUGGGUUAGUCGGGACCUAAGCUGAGGCCGAAAGGCGUAGGUGAUGGACAACAGGUUGAUAUUCCUGUACUACCGAUAACCGUUUGAGAGAAGGGAUGACACAGUAGGAUAAGCUAAGCACACUGUUGGUUAUGUGUGCCCAAGCAUUGAGGCAGUCAAAGUAGGCAAAUCCGCUUUGAUAAUGCUGGGAUGUGAUGGGGAGCGAAAUUUAGUAGCGAAGUAGCUGAUUUCACACUGUCAAGAAAAGUCUCUAUCGAGGUUAAAGGUACCCGUACCGCAAACCGACACAGGUGGGUGAGGAGAGUAUCCUAAGGCCAGCGAGAGAACUGUUGUUAAGGAACUCGGCAAAAUGACCCCGUAACUUAGGGAUAAGGGGUGCCACCAUCAGGUGGCCGCAGAGAAUAGGCCCAAGCGACUGUUUACCAAAAACAUAGGUUUCUGCUAAGUCGCAAGACGAUGUAUAGGAGCUGACGCCUGCCCGGUGCUGGAAGGUUAAGGGGAUCUGUUAGAGCAAUCGAAGCAGUGAACUUAAGCCCCAGUAAACGGCGGCCGUAACUAUAACGGUCCUAAGGUAGCGAAAUUCCUUGUCGGGUAAGUUCCGACCCGCACGAAAGGCGUAACGAUUUGGGCACUGUCUCAACAACAGACUCGGUGAAAUUGUAAUUCCGGUGAAGAUGCCGGAUACCUGCGACAGGACGGAAAGACCCCAUGGAGCUUUACUGUAGCUUGACAUUGGGUCUUGGUACUACAUGUACAGGAUAGGUGGGAGGCUUUGAAACCAGGACGCCAGUUUUGGCGGAGCCAUCCUUGGGAUACCACCCUUGUAGUACUGGGACUCUAACCAUAGGCCAUGAAUCUGGUCUUGGGACACUGUCAGGUGGGCAGUUUGACUGGGGCGGUCGCCUCCCAAAAGGUAACGGAGGCGCUCAAAGGUUCUCUCAGUACGGUCGGAAAUCGUACGUAGAGUGUAAAGGCAAAAGAGAGCUUGAUUGCAAGACAUACAGGUCGAGCAAGGAUGAAAAUCGGACUUAGUGAUCCGGUGGUUCUGCGUGGAAGGGCCAUCGCUCAACGGAUAAAAGCUACCCUGGGGAUAACAGGCUUAUCUCCCCCAAGAGUCCACAUCGACGGGGAGGUUUGGCACCUCGAUGUCGGCUCAUCACAUCCUGGGGCUGUAGUAGGUCCCAAGGGUUGGGCUGUUCGCCCAUUAAAGUGGUACGCGAGCUGGGUUCAGAACGUCGUGAGACAGUUCGGUCCCUAUCCGUCGCAGGCGUAGGAAAUUUGAGAAGACCUGUCCUUAGUACGAGAGGACCGGGAUGGACGUACCUCUGGUGUACCAGUUG